AUGCGCCGCCUCCCGCGGGCCCUGCUGCUGCUGCGGCUCGCCCUGCUGGUGGCCGCAGGCGCCCCGGAGGCGCUGGUGAGCGCGCCGCGGAGCAUGGUGUGGGGGCCCGAGCUGCAGGCGGCCGUCGUCCUGCCGGUCCGCUAUUUCUACCUGCAGGCGGUCAACUCAGAGGGCCAGAACUUCACUCGCGCGCCCCCAGGUCAAACACCAUUCAAAGUAGUAGUCAAAUCUCUUUCACCUAAAGAGCUGGUCCGGAUUCAUGUCCCUAAACCUUUGGACAGGAAUGAUGGAACAUUUUUGAUGAGAUAUAGGAUAAAUGAAACUGCCAAUGAAGGGCUGAAGGUAGAGGUCCUUUAUGGUGAUGAACAUGUGGCUCAGUCUCCCUAUAUUUUGAAAGGACCAGUAUACCAUGAGUACUGUGAGUGUCCAGAAAAUCCUCAGGCCUGGCAGAAAACUCUUUCUUGUCCGACCACAGAACCACAGAUUGCAAAAGAUUUUGCUUCCUUUCCCAGCAUCAAUCUCCAGCAAAUGCUAAACGAAGUCCCCAAAAGGUUUGGGGACGAGAGAGGUGCCGUUGUUCAUUACACAAUUCUCAAUAACCACAUUCACCGGAGAUCUUUAGGGAAAUACACGGACUUCAAAAUGUUCUCUGAUGAGCUUUUGUUAUCACUGACAAGAAAGGUCCUCCUCCCAGAUUUAGAAUUUUAUGUUAAUCUUGGAGAUUGGUCUUUGGAGCAUCGAAAAGUCAAUGGAACCCCCAGCCCCAUACCUAUCAUUUCAUGAUGCAGCUCUCUGGAUUCAAAAGAUAUUGUCCUUCCAACAUAUGACAUCACCCACUUCACACUUGAAGCCAUGAGGGGUGUUACAAAUGAUCUCCUCUCUAUUCAGGGAAAUACAGGGCCUUCCUGGAUCAAUAAAACAGAGAGAGCUUUCUUCAGAGGUAGAGACAGCCGAGAGGAGAGGCUCCAGUUGGUACAACUGUCAAAAAAAAAAUCCUCAGCUACUAGAUGCAGGAAUUACAGGAUAUUUCUUUUUCCAAGAGAAAGAAAAGGAGCUUGGAAAAGCCAAGUUGAUGGGUUUCUUUGAUUUCUUCAAGUACAAGUAUCAAGUUAAUGUGGAUGGGACCGUGGCUGCUUACAGAUAUCCAUAUCUCAUGCUGGGUGACAGUCUGGUUUUAAAGCAGGACUCACCAUAUUAUGAACAUUUCUAUACGGCACUAGAGCCUUGGAAGCAUUAUGUUCCAAUUAAAAGAAAUCUUGGUGAUUUAUUAGAGAAAGUUAAAUGGGCUAAGGAAAAUGAUGAAGAAGCCAAGAAGAUUGUAAAAGAAGGACAACUGAUGGCUAGAGACCUACUACAGCCACACAGGCUUUACUGCUACUAUUACCAAGUACUGCAGAAAUAUGCUGAGCGCCAGUCCAGCAAACCUGAAGUAUGUGAUGGAAUGGAACUUGUUCCUCAGCCAGAAGACAGCACAGCCAUCUGCCAGUGCCACAGGAAAAAGCCUUCAAGAGAAGAGCUUUGAGUCAGCCCAGAUUCACACUCUUGUAUAACCCAGCUACAUCUUUAAGGAAAGAUCAAAUCUAAGCUGUGAAGGACAGUACAGAAGAUUUUACCAAGUGGACUGCUUCUCUCAGUGGCUUUAUAUGUGUAGAUGGAUGUAGCCAUACUGAUUGAGCAUUGCUUAUAUGAAAUGCUUGGGACCAGGAGAGUUUCAGAUUUCAGAUUUGGGGAUAUUUGCAUAUACAUAAUGAGAUAUCUUGGGGAUGAGACCCAAGCCUAAACACAAAAUUCAUUUAUGUUUCAUAUAUACCUUGUAAACAUAUCCUGAAGGUAAUCUUAUAUAAUACUUUUAAUAAUUUUAUGCACGAAACAAAGUUUGUAUAGAUUGAAGUGUCAGAAAGCAAAGGUGUCACUAUCUUAGUGGCCCAUGUGGUGUCAGCACUCAAAAAGUUUUGGA